CUGGCCAGAGACUGAAGGGGUUUUUGGAUGGCCAUGGUUCUGUAAUCUUUGUUUGCCCCUACCCUCUCUCAGGACUUUCAUCAAGCAACUGGCAGGCACAUUUUGGGCGUUCGUAGUGGAGCAAAGAUGGGUGUGGGUCUGUCAGUUCUGAUAGGGUUGAAAGCAGCAGUCUUGUUCUCGUUGUUUGCAUUCCUCAGAAGCUCUGGUUUCACUGUGCUUUCGAUACCAUUUUUGUACGCCUCUCUGGUAUCCGCGUUGGUUUCACUUGCUGCUCACCCAUCCAUAGACCUUCCCAUGCUGUUGGGGAAGAACCCAGAUGGGAGUUUCCCCGUUUGGUCGAUUAUAAUGUUCAGCCCCUAUUUGUAUUUCGUUCGCUCUUUCUCGGCGCUGCGGAGAUUGCGGAGUAGGGAGGCUCCGUAUACUGAAAUCUGUGAGGGUUUGUUUGUCGGCGGGUGGCCUUCUUCGCCGGAUAAACUGCCACCAGGGGAUCCUGCUGUUGUUGAUUGCACUUGUGAAUUGCCAAGAAAGCCUGAGUUUUCAGGGCAUUCUUAUUUGUGUGUGCCAACAUGGGACACAAGGGCUCCUCCGCCGGCUGCCAUUGAAUCCGCUGUCAAGUGGGCUUGCCGGAAAAGGGAUCAAAAUAGGCCUGUUUUCGUCCACUGCGCCUACGUUAUACUUGGAUUUGGGAAUGACUUGGAAAUUCAAACAAGAUGGAGCUGCCCGGGUUUAUAGAAUUUACGAUUUAAACUUAAAAGGCCAAGCUUGGAGGUUUCGGGUGAUUAAGGUAGUGAGUUGUAACUAGAAACUCUUUUGUAAUUUCCUGUUUAGGUCAUGGGAGAAGUGUAGCUGUCAUGUGUGCACUACUAGUUGCUCUUGGGGUGGCAGAGGACUGGAAAAAUGCUGAGAAACUAAUUCGAGAGAAACGUCCUUACAUUAGGAUGAAUGCUUUACACCGCAUGGCUCUGGAAGAGUGGUCAAAACAUCGGUUAUCUCCUUCUAAGAAGAAUUGAUAAAUUAAGGUAAUAGACAGCCAUGGUUUCCUGUGUUGCAGUCGAACUGUUGACCCGGUGAACCUCAUGUGGAACAUGAAGCCACCAGGCUACAAAGAGACCGGCGACAGCCAUGUAUGCUGAUGCUACUGUUAAGUCGGGAAACUAAAAUUAGUCCUUGCAGACUAAACAAUAAUUAUCAAUAUUUCUUGAACAACUUAAUGUGUAUAAUUAUGCAUAAACAUGAUCUGCAUUUUUAAGAUGUAUGCUCAACUUAACCCUGAGUUAUUUCCAAGGGGGACGUUCGUCCUCUUGGUAUGUUGUUCCUUUUUUCA